GAUCUAAGCUAAAACCUCCAUCA
rnacentral:siRNA from 1 species